rnacentral:rRNA from 1 species
GAUGAACGCUGGCGGCGUGCCUAAUACAUGCAAGUCGAGCGAAUGGAUUAAGAGCUUGCUCUUAUGAAGUUAGCGGCGGACGGGUGAGUAACACGUGGGUAACCUGCCCAUAAGACUGGGAUAACUCCGGGAAACCGGGGCUAAUACCGGAUAACAUUUUGAACCGCAUGGUUCGAAAUUGAAAGGCGGCUUCGGCUGUCACUUAUGGAUGGACCCGCGUCGCAUUAGCCAGUUGGUGAGGUAACGGCUCACCAAGGCAACGAUGCGUAGCCACGCACCGACGGUGUUCGGCCACACUGGGACUGCGUCCCGGCCCAGACGCCUUCGGGAGCCAGCAGUAGGGAAUCUCCCGCAAUGGACGAAAGCCAGCCGGAGCAACUCCGCGUGAGUGAUGAAGGCUUGCGGGUCGUAAAACUCGGUUGUUAGGGAAGAACAAGUGCUAGUUGAAUCAGCCGACACCUUGACGGUACCUAACCAGAAAGCCACGGCUAACUACUUGCCAGCAGCCGCAGUAA